AAUAUUGCGCAAUGGAGGGAACUCUGACGCAGCGACGCCGCGUGAGCGAUGAAGGUUUUCGGAUCGUAAAGCUCUGUCCUUGGGGAAGAAGGUCUUCGGACUUGACGCUACCUAAUGAGGAAGUCCCGGCUAACUACGUGACAGAAGCCGGGGUAAUACGUAGGGGGCAAGCGUUGUCCGGCAUUAUUGGGCGUACAGGGUGCGAAGGCGGCCUUUUAAGUCAGGUGUGAAAGCCCACGGCUUAACCGUGGGAUUGCAUUUGAAACUGGAAGGCUUGAGUAUCGGAGAGGGUAGUGGAAUUCCCAGUGGAGCGGUAGAAUGCGUAGAUAUUGGGAGGAACACCAGUGGCGAAGGCGACUACCUGGACGAAAACUGACGCUGAGGCACGAAAGCUAGGGGAGCAAACA
rnacentral:rRNA from 1 species